rnacentral:lncRNA from 1 species
AGAGCCGUGUGGCCUCUAUCUGCCACGAGAAUGGUUCGGACUUUUGAGAGCACUGAGCAGACAGAAGCGGGCGUUGGGAGUAGAGCGGUUAAGGCUAGUUUGGCACACGAGGAAAGUAAGAGAAACGAGCGAAGAAAGUAGGAGUAAUUGAUGUUUUAAGCAACGGUCAUGAUUUAAAUCAAAGUAAAGUUGAAUAAGGUUCCGUUGCAUCAGUUUUUUUAGUUUUAUUUGUAUUUUUGGGUUUUUUAUUUUUAUUUUUUUGCUUAAUUUAGCUAAAUAAAGCAAAAAAAGCUAAAAAGUCAAAAAUUCUUGGUCUUUUGUAGCAAGUUUAAAAACACUGGACUUUUAGCAUACCCAACGGAGCCUAAGUGAAGAAAGUAGUAGUAAUUGCUAUUUACCACAGUUACAGUUUUAUUAAUUUGAAUUUUGAACUAAAUAAAUUUUUUACAUUUAAAAUAAAAUUUUUAAAUUUACUUAAUUAGUACAAUUUUAUACAUUCAAAUGAAUCUGAAUUAUUAUUUGAAUUCAUUAAAAACAUAUUAAAAAAAAAUAUUUCAACAAAAAUAUUUUUACCAAAUUAACCAAUGAAAUCCAAUGAUUGUUUUCAAUUAUUAUUUAUUUUGUAAUGAAAAAUAAUACUGAGCAUUUGAAACAAAUUUUAAUAUUUUUUGAAAAAAAAAUUAAAAAAUAAGUUCGAAAACCGGACACCAACAAAAAUUUUCUAAAAAGUAUUCUGUUAACACCAAUCUGAAAACUAAAUCAAUUAUUUCCUUUUCUUGGUUGUAGAAGUCAAGAAAAGAAAAGAAAAACAAUAGUAAAAAGAAUUUAACUAAAUAAAGAGAAAUAAAGUUGGAAGAAGCGGAAGAAGAAACCAGAACAGGAAAGAGGUUAAUGUUUUUCCCAUUCUACCUGGAUUCCAACAAAGCAUUAUCAAGGCCAACAAGUAGAAGAGAAAAUAAUUCAUAAAUACUAUUCUAGUAUCUUAUUUGUGAUGGAUUGAAACAAAUAAAGCUCACCCCAAGUUGAUCUAAUUACAGUAAUGUUCAUCAAUUUAACAAAAUUACAUAGCAAGUAAUAAAGCGCAGCACCAGCAGUGUUCUAGAAUUAACUUUUUCCUAUUAUGUUCUUUUUUUUUAAUUAAGAAUAUUAUAUUUUUUUGGGUCACUCCAACCAACAACAAUAAUAAUAAAAAAAAGCCUAAGGGGGGUGAAUGGAUGGAAAGAAAACGUAACAGAAAACUUAAAUAGAAGGUCUCUGAGAAUGUGUACAAUAAAAGUGGUAGAUCUAAUAUGGUAUCACUUGGAUAAAUACCUCAGAUAUUAUUUAAUUCUUAGUAAAACAGAACCCAAAUACAAGAAGCAUCUGCAGAGGGUGGGGGUGGGGGGUGGGGGGGUGCGGCGGCCAGCCCCACCAGAAUUACCUUUGUACAGAACAUGAGGUUAGAAAAAGAAAAAACAAUGAACUGUGUUGUUGUUGUGGCCGAAGCAACUCUAGAAAUGACAACCAAUUGAUAUUACAAACCAAAUACAUUUCAAUAUUUACAUGAAAGAAUAAAUAAAACCAAUUGUCAGUUGCCAUUGUCAUGCACCCAUCAACUCUACCAAUGUAGAUUGGUAAAAAGAACAAAUACCAGAGCUAAAUUCUCCAAUCUUAAACUAUAGAGAAUCAGCUCACACUAUGUCAGUGAUCCGUACAAAAGAGUAACAAACAAUGCAAGCACUCUUUAAAAAGAAGCCAAGGGCUUUAAAGACCCACGUCUGAGUCAUCUGAAGAAAUCCCAAAUCAUCCAAAGCAAAAUUGAAGUCUCACCUCUGCCUGUUUCAAGAAAUCACGACCGAAUCGACUACAGGACCGGUGCCUGCUCCAUGUGUUCAACUCCCGAGCAACUUCGCAUCUGGAUUCUGCAACUGGUCGACAAAUCCGAAGGCUUCUCGCAUUGUAAAUUAAUACGAUCACUGGGGAUUGCACCCCAUUUCGUCUAAAAUACCCAGUAGCUCUUCAAACAUCGAACGUUCUCGUCUAGCGAGAAAUCUUCUAAGAUAUAAUCAAGCGAAGGUUUCCCAAUGAGACUCCAUUGCUAUCCCUUCCCAUUGAACUCUACUGGUUCAUAAUUUAACUUCCUCCUUCCCCGCAGUCUUGGCAUAUUAUAUGCAAAGGACUAGUUACCACCAAUUCGCGAUCAUCGUUCUCAUCCUCAGCUUGCCUUAGGAGAAUGGGCUUGACAUAAGAGUAACUGAAGAAGUCGAAGAGCCAGACCCCGAUGUAGUAGGCAGUGAAGCAAGAUAAAAUGAAGAUUGAAUAAAGGAACGUACCCUUCGCAAAGUUGGACGGGCACUUGGACCAUACAUCGCCUUUGCAGCUUCGUCGAGGCACGAGCAGCUUGCAAGUGCUGUGCGGAAAAUGUACCAAGACAGAGUCUGCUUCCCCUGUUGGCUCCCGAAAUUUCAGCAACCCAUUCCCCCACGUCUUUGUCUAACACCUCGGUUAGUUACAGUUUUGAGUUUUGUGGCCCUCCUUUGCCCUCUACACCCCUUUUUCGAUCCCUUGGCCGGAGCCUACGCACAGGCUUGGGACUGUUAUUCUAAGAAAGAUUCAAGUUUUUAUGUAUUCUUCCACUUGGCUAAUUUUUCUACUAUACCAUUAGGGGCCGUCACGCCUGUUUCCGGCGACUUCUCUUUCUGCGAAUAGUCCAAGGGACAGAAGCGAGCCAUGUUAGACGCGUGAUCAAGAAAACCCAUCCUAUAAUUCUGUCAAAAACAAGACAAAAAAAAAUACUUUAAGCACCAAGAAGAAACAAUAUGCUUCACUGUUUCGCAAAAUUGUCAAAAAAACAAGGAAGAAAGAAAAGUGCGAAAACGCGCACCAAAACACAACACUUCCUUACAACAGGGAUUUUUUUUUCUUUUUCAAAUCAGCACUGUAAUAAGAAGCAUAAGUGCUCACUGAUCGAUUGCAGGCAUAGGCAGCUACAGGCUCCGAGCAGUUUCAAAUGAACCCACUGAAAUUAUUAGAAUAUUUUACUUAAAAGUUAAAACAUAGACAUUAACACAUUUUAAACCCACUAAGAUUCUUUAAAAAUUAAUAAAAGAUGAUAUCAUGGGAUCAAAAUUCUAAAAAUAAACGCCACAAUUCACCAAAACAUUUCGUUCUUAUUUUUUUCUCAACAAAUUUUAAAUUUACAUUACGAGAAUGUUAUUAUAUGCAUUUCAAUGAAGUUAUUUUCUACACUAAAAAAUUAUUUUUGUUAGUUCUGUAAACCUAAAAAGUUUUUUGCUCAAUGAACUGAUUUAAAAAACUCUGGCUCCGCCAACGAAAACCAGAACCCAAAAUCUGCUAAUGGAAACAAACAAAUGGGUUUACGAAUUGGCAAACACCAAGGUUCCAGAUGCAGAAUUGAACAAAUCGUUUCAACAUUACCCGUAUAAUAGGACCAUAAACCCUUAAUUUCCGAAUCAAUAGGAAAAAAAAUACACAAAACCCUAGCUGUAAACUCUUUAAAUCUCAAAAAGAAGUUAACAAAACAAAAAUAGAAACAACAGGAAUUCUUCAGAAGAUUAAGACCUAGAGUACAUAAUCAACAUACAUAACCAACAAUAUGAACAUAAAAUCAAUGAAUAAGAAAGAAGAAUCAACCAACCUUUCAAAAAUAAAAAUAAAGGCAACAGAACAAAAACAAAGACAACAGUAAAUUCUUUCAGAAGAUUAAGAUCACGAGCGAAUAAUCAACAUACAUAAACAACAAAUAUAACAUAAAAUCAAUUAAGAAAGAAAAAAAAAAAAGAAGGAAUAAUCAACCAACCUUCAAUCUCAGAUGACAUACACGAGAUUCGACAAAUCUUUGCUCUGACAGGCUCAAAUAUUGUGUUUCCGCUGCCAAAUUAGGCUUUUUUUUUUUCCGCUGCUAAUCUCUCUCUGACAGGCUCAAAUAUUGUGUUUCCGCUGCGAAACUAGGGUUUUUUUGGCUGUUAAUCUCUAUAGAGUGGAGUGAUUUAUGGAAAGUUUCUUCGAGUUCUUGUUGUUUCGAGUGGUUUCGAGAAGCUCUGUUCACAAAAUCAGAAAUUAGAAAUCUUGUUCGCGCUCAGCUGCAGGGAUAUUUAUAGCCUUCUGAAAAUAUUUUAUGACGAGACACAAAUGCGAAGAUUUUUAUUACUGGGUUGAUGACGUGGCGGAAUGCUAGUCGUCUCUGUGGCGAAUCGGUUCCGAUCGCGCCGCCACGUGUUUCACGAAGUUUCCCGAACCACUCGAUUAAUGCAACAUUGUUUUCUUGGCGACGAAGAAUUCCUGCUCAGGCGGGGGGUUUCUUCUUUGGGGGGGGGGGGGGGCUCCUUGGGGGGGGGGGGGGGGAGGGCGGGUAUACUUUGCCCCUCGAUCCGGGUGAAUUUCCAAAUGUGCCAUUGUAGUCAAAUUAUCGUUUAAGUCUUUCAGAAGUAGAGUGGGUUGUAGCGUGCCACGUGUAGAUAGUAACGGAAGGUUUGAGGAAUGUGCUAGACCUGAUAUUUUAUCAGGGAUCUAGAAAGCUAAUCGAUAAUUCCGUCUUAAUAUUCCGAAGACAAGCAAUUAUUACAGGUUAAUAAUAUAUUAUAGGAUUGGAUUAUCUUUAGGCCCUAAUGUAGACUUAAUGUCACGAUUAAUAAUGUAAAAAAAAUAAUAUAAUUUAAUAUUUAAAGUAUUUAUACUUAAUGAAAAAAAAUAUAACAUAUACGAUUAUCAGUAUAUUUCUAUAUAUGAUAGCAAUAAUUGAAUUAUUUCAUUGACGUAAUUUUUACAGAUUAAUUUUUAAAAAAACUCAACAAUUUAAAUGAAUUUAGCAUCAAAAUUAGCACAAAAAGGUUGAACUGGACGUCCAAACUCAGUAUUAUAAUCCUUCGAAUCUCUUUAAAUAUCAAACGGUGUAUUUAGCCUAUUUAGAUUAGUUAAAAAACUUGUUUUUUAUAAUUUUAAAUUAAAAAAAUAAGUCGAGAUAAAAAACUACUACUCUUAUUUGAAGUAGCUAAAAAAAU